UUUUCAGUGACUCGACCAUAGAGAUAGAAGAGAGGAAAUAUGUCAAAGACGUUCACUCCUGAAACGAUAGAGACCAGAUCGGAAAUAUCCAACCGCCUGUUGGAUGUGAAAAAGAGGUCCGCCAAGACCUAAGAUUGCGGAGGAGACUGGCCUCACCAAUGUCUACGUUGCUCAGUUGUUAAGACGCCAGGCCCAACUCAAACCAGAUACCUCCUCAAAACUACGAGCUGCGCUGCCUGAACUCACUGACUCUCUGCUUGACGAGAUGACUAAACCACCCAUGAGGUCUUACCGCCCCGACCUGAUCCAAGAACCGACCC
rnacentral:misc_RNA from 1 species